CGCUGGCGGCGUGCUUAACACAUGCAAGUCGAGCGGGGAGUUACCUUCGGGGUAACUUCUAGCGGCGGACGGGUGAGUAACGCGUGAGCAACCUCUCUCUCAGUGGGGAAUAACACAGGGAAACUUGUACUAAUACCGCAUGGGACCACGACCCGGCAUCGGGUUGAGGUGAAAGAUUUAUCGCUGAGAGGUGGGCUCGCGUCUGAUUAGAUAGUUGGUGGGGUAACGGCCUACCAAGUCGACGAUCAGUAGCCGACCUGAGAGGGUGAUCGGCCACAUUGGGACUGAGACACGGCCCAGACUCCUACGGGAGGCAGCAGUGGGGAAUAUUGCACAAUGGGGGAAACCCUGAUGCAGCAACGCCGCGUGAAGGAAGACGGUCUUCGGAUUGUAAACUUUUGUUCUUAGUGAAGAAAAAUGACGGUAGCUAAGGAGAAAGCCACGGCUAACUACGUG
rnacentral:rRNA from 1 species